rnacentral:rRNA from 1 species
UACGUAGGGUGCGAGCGUUGUCCGGAAUUAUUGGGCGUAAAGGGCUCGUAGGCGGUUUGUCGCGUCGGGAGUGAAAACCAGGUGCUUAACACCUGGCUUGCUUUCGAUACGGGCAGACUAGAGGUAUGCAGGGAAGAACGGAAUUCCUGGUGUAGCGGUGAAAUGCGCAGAUAUCAGGAGGAACACCGGUGGCGAAGGCGGUUCUCUGGGCAUGACCUGACGCUGAGGAGCGAAAGUGUGGGGAGCGAACAGG